ACUGAUUUGGGACAGAAGUACUGAUCAGAAUUGGGCUUGCUCAGGUGUUUGCAUUCAGUUAGUGAAUUGGCCAGGGCUGGCUGGUUACUAUGCUUUGCCUGGAAAACCUGAGUUCUGCUCCAUGUGUUUCUCAUAUCACUCCAGCUACCAUUCCCUCCACCCAUGGUAACGGCAGAAGAUUUGAAUUAACUAUUCAGAAAGAAAGUAUCAGUGGCUAAUAAACAUAUUACAAGAAGGUUAUUUCUCAUUACUAAUCAGUGAACACACAUUAAAACAAUUAAAAGGUAAAAUUUUAUACAUGUUAAGAAAGGUUUGUAAAAUUCAUUGUUGGUGAGUGGGAUGGAAAAAUAUAUGCUUUCAUUUAGUUUCAGAGAGAGAAUAAAUUAUUCCCCCACCUUUGGUAGGACUUUCAGCCAUGUGUAUCAGUUUUUAAAUUGAAGCUACUUUUUAAUCCCAAAACUAUUCUUCAAGGUAUCAACCAUAAAAGAAUAUUCAUUAUAAAAGAAUACUCACAGUACUUAUAAAGACGUUUAAAGAUGUUCAUUGUAGCAUUGUGCAAAAUAUCACACAUUGUGGGAAGUUAAAUGUGUAAGUAAAGAUUGAAUACAGCAAUUCCUCAUGCAUCAAAGACUUAGAUGAAAACAAGCGCCACACUCAAAUUAAGUAACUGAACAUAUUUUAAUAAAGGCAUUGUUUACAAUGAUAUGGGUACAAGUUUAGGAAAGCCAGAAAGGGAAAUGUAGUAUCCUGGAGUUUAUAACUAUGGAAAACUCCCAGUAUCUCUUGACCUAAUGGGAAACUCAUGACAGCUGUGUGUAGAAGGCCACCUGAUAAAAGGUAUGACCCUUGGUGGGGGAAGAUGGCAAACAAAUAGAUAACAAGUAUGCAGGAAGGUGGGAAGUAAGUCUCUCAACUUUGCUUUUCUUCUUUCUGUGUCUCCUGCCAGUGGAGCUCUUUCAGGCAGUCGUUUUAGUUCAGUUUCCCAGGACACAGAGCAGUGUGGAGAAGAGUGGAGACUGGAUCCGGACAGACGAAAGGAAGUUAUACGGCAUAACACACACGUCAGUGUUCAAUAGCAGAAAGGAGGUCCGGCAUGCUUUCCGAGUUCUGCCCCUCAACAGACUUUUCAAAGCUAUUUUCUCUACAAAGUCGUUUGCUCUACAAAGAAACUUUCAGAC
rnacentral:lncRNA from 1 species